CUGCAGGCAACGGAUUGAUUGUGGCUCGAUUGGUGGCACAGUUCAUCUCAACGCCUGCAGAGAGAAAAGUGACGGUUUCGUGAACUGAACAAGUUCACUUUAGAAAUGUUCGGUCUUUACUGUUGUCCACAACC
rnacentral:snoRNA from 1 species